rnacentral:rRNA from 1 species
AAUAGAUACCCAGGUAGUCCUAGCCGUAAACGAUGGACACUAGGUGUUGGUGGUAUCAACCCCGCCAGUGCCGAAGCUAACGCAUUAAGUGUCCCGCCUGGGGAGUACGGCCGCAAGGCUAAAACUCAAAGGAAUUGACGGGGGCCCGCACAAGCGGCGGAGCAUGCGGACUAAUUCGAUGCAACGCGAAGAACCUUACCAAGGCUUGACAUAUACCGUUUAUCCCUAGAGAUAGGGAGUCCUUGGGGCGGUAUACAGGUGGUGCAUGGUUGUCGUCAGCUCGUGUCGUGAGAUGUUGGGUUAAGUCCCGCAACGAGCGCAACCCUCGUUCUAUGUUGCCAGCACGUAAUGGUGGGGACUCAUAGGAGACUGCCGGGGUCAACUCGGAGGAAGGUGGGGAUGACGUCAAAGUCAUCAUGCCCCUUAUGUCUUGGGCUUCACGCAUGCUACAAUGGCCGGUACAAAGGGCUGCAAUACCGUAAGGUGGAGCGAAUCCCAAAAAGCCGGUCUCAGUUCGGAUUGAGGUCUGCAACUCGA